CACAUGCAAGUCGAGCGGAAACGAGUUAUCUGAACCUUCGGGGGACGAUAACGGCGUCGAGCGGCGGACGGGUGAGUAAUGCCUAGGAAAUUGCCCUGAUGUGGGGGAUAACCAUUGGAAACGAUGGCUAAUACCGCAUGAUGCCUACGGGCCAAAGAGGGGGACCUUCGGGCCUCUCGCGUCAGGAUAUGCCUAGGUGGGAUUAGCUAGUUGGUGAGGUAAGGGCUCACCAAGGCGACGAUCCCUAGCUGGUCUGAGAGGAUGAUCAGCCACACUGGAACUGAGACACGGUCCAGACUCCUACGGGAGGCAGCAGUGGGGAAUAUUGCACAAUGGGCGCAAGCCUGAUGCAGCCAUGCCGCGUGUGUGAAGAAGGCCUUCGGGUUGUAAAGCACUUUCAGUCGUGAGGAAGGUAGUGUAGUUAAUAGCUGCAUUAUUUGACGUUAGCGACAGAAGAAGCACCGGCUAACUCCGUGCCAGCAGCCGCGGUAAUACGGAGGGUGCGAGCGUUAAUCGGAAUUACUGGGCGUAAAGCGCAUGCAGGUGGUUUGUUAAGUCAGAUGUGAAAGCCCGGGGCUCAACCUCGGAAUUGCAUUUGAAACUGGCAGACUAGAGUACUGUAGAGGGGGGUAGAAUUUCAGGUGUAGCGGUGAAAUGCGUAGAGAUCUGAAGGAAUACCGGUGGCGAAGGCGGCCCCCU
rnacentral:rRNA from 1 species